rnacentral:rRNA from 1 species
UCGAGAAUAUUCGACAAUGGGCGAAAGCCUGAUCGAGCGACGCCGCGUGUAGGAUGAAGGCCUUCGGGUUGUAAACUACGGUAGUAUGGUAACAAUGCAAAUGAGUGCCAUACGGAAAGAGGUUGGUAACUACGUGCCAGCACCCGCGGUAAAACGUAGACCUCAAGCGUUAUCCGGAUUUAUUGGGCGUAAAGCGCAUGUAGGAGGUUUUGUGCGUCUUCUGUUAAAGCCCACCGCCCAACGGUGGAAGUGCAGGAGAUACGACAUGACUAGAGGAGGUUAGAGGUGCAUGGAACUCACGGUGUAGGGGUGAAAUCCGUUGAUAUCGUGGGGAACACCAAAGGCGAAGGCAGUGCACUGGGACCUUCCUGACUCUGAGAUGCGAAAGCGUGGGGAGCAAAAAGGAUUAGAUACCCCCGUAGUCC